rnacentral:rRNA from 1 species
UACGUAGGGUGCAAGCGUUAAUCGGAAUUACUGGGCGUAAAGCGUGCGCAGGCGGUUAUGCAAGACAGAUGUGAAAUCCCCGGGCUCAACCUGGGAACUGUAUUUGUGACUGCAUAGCUGGAGUGCGGCAGAGGGGGAUGGAAUUCCGCGUGUAGCAGUGAAAUGCGUAGAUAUGCGGAGGAACACCGAUGGCGAAGGCAAUCCCCUGGGCCUGCACUGACGCUCAUGCACGAAAGCGUGGGGAGCAAACAGG